GCAGAUACUGCCACAGGGGGCUGUCCUCGGGGGGCAGCAGGCGCUUCUGUCGCCGAGAUUGCCAUGGAGGGCACCAUCUCCCUGCCGGGAGGGGUACUAAGUCAGGGCCUGGGACUCCGGAGCACCAUGGGGUGGCCAGGAAUGCUUCUGCUGGACACCCUGGCCGACCCUCAGAAGCCUUCAAAUGGUCAAGACUUCAUGCGGCCCUUUUGAGACCUGUGGGAGCCUGACAUUAUCCAAGGAACAGUAUGCCCAGCUCUAGGGGAUGAAUUGUGAUCCAUCUCAGGCUGUCACAGCCAUCUCAGGACACAGUGACAGAUUCCAUACUGAACUUGAAAUCAUGCCCUCCAGAGGUGAGGCUUCAUUUUCCUCAAGAGUGAGUUUCUCGCAGGAGAUGCCUCCAUUCCAAAGACUCCUGGCAGGCCCAGUCCCUCCUCUACUUGACGAGCCCAAAUGCCAGCAUUGGGAACCCACCUUUGUGCUGCUGCAGACCUGUGGCCUCUCAUCGAUGAAGUAGGCACGAUCACUCUACAGGUGGCUUUCAGACAGAGGAAGGGACUCAUCCGAAGUCUCACAGCCGUGACAUGGGACUGGCUCCAAUUCUGUGUGGCCACAGCCUGGGGUAUUUCCCCACUCCAGGGGGAGUCUCUUUAUUUGCCUCAGUGCCAGGGGCACAGAGGCCUCUGGGACAGUGGAUGACCAGAUGGGUUGGGAGUUCCUGUGCAUCUUGCUGGGGACAGGGUCGGAGAAGCCCACAUCCUCCUGGCACAGUAGUUGGGUUUGUGCUAUGGAAAUGUUAUAUAACAGCCCCAGGUUUCAUUGGCUUCUAGAAUAAUCAAUUAAUUUUCUUGCUUCUGGUUCAGAGGGUCAGCUGGGGCUCUUCUGCUUCAGUGGUGGGUUCAGAUCUUUCCACCUGGGAGUGUUCUUUCCCAGUGGACAACACCGGUGCAAGAAGCCCACCUCGUAAGUGCUUUUAAAGCCUCCACCUCAGUCAGGUCUGCUGAUGUUCCAGUGGCCACAGCAUCACUUGGCCAAGCCCCAAGUCCUGAGUAAAGGCGUGUGCUCUAUCCUCUCCAUGGGGCGGCCCCGUAAGGUCACACGGCCAGGGGUAUGGACAUGUAACCCUAUUACUGGUGGCAGAGUGCAGAGUCAGGAGCAGCAGUCCAAUCUACACACAGGUCCUGAGGGCCCCAGGGUAUCUCCAAAGGUAUGGGUGCAGAGACCCCAUUGGGCACGGUCUCAGUGAGCUCAGGCAGGCCACAAUAGCUGCCGCAGGCAGAAGCUGAAGAUUUUCUAAUCAGUUCCGCCUCAGAGGAAGAACCUGAAGCUCUGGGAAUUGGAGUGUUGCCUAAGGUUGCAAGGCAACCCCUUGCCUCCGCCCACCCUCACUGCCAUCCUGAAAAUGGACAGGAGAGGGAGCUGAGGGGUCUGGCUCACCUUCCCUCUUCCAGCCUAGAGCACCUGCCGGCCAGCAAAGGAGAAACUCCCAGCCCUUUCUUUCCUCCAAGCCACCCUCAAGCUCAGCGUAUGCCCCUUUCCCCCAGAAACACCAGGAAAUGCAGCCUGGGACUCAGGAUUCAGACUGCAUGCACUGGAGACCUCCCAGUGCUUGUUCACGGCUGCAGCCCCGGGCUGGCCUGGGGGCAUACUUUGUUUUUCUUGAUCAGUGUUUUGUUUGUUUGAGUGACGCCAACACUAAACAAUUUGAAAAUUUCACAAAGAAUUUAGAUUUGAUUUUCAUUUCUGUUGAGAAAGUAGAAGAUUUCACCAAGCCAGACCCAUUUUGCUGCAUGCCAAGGCUACUAGCACUGCAUGUGCCUGUCCCCAUCCUCACAUGGGUUAUGUGUUUUGCCAAAGUCCCCACCACUCCCUGCUGCCUCAACACAACACAUUGCACUCAUAUUCCAUAUUGGUCUUUGUGCUGCUGGCACAUGA